CAAAGCUGAAAUACGUUGCAAGCUCUACUAUUUUAAGGUUAUUUAAAAAAUUCUCAUCCUUUUUUAAAGGGUGAAGAAUGAUUUCUAAGGUAGCCAAGCAAAGAAAGAAUUCAGCCUUCUUUACUACAUUCAACCUAACCUACCCAAGCCUAGAGAUACAGAAACAUCUCCCAGACUCUGACAGCAGAAACAACAUCAAGCAUAAGCAACUAACCCAAAUGGAUGGAUUCCAGCUAGAAAUGCAGCAGCACUCUACAUCCUCAGGUAGAAAAAUGCGCGGCUUCAUCCAUUGCGGCUCCCCACCCCCCACCCCCAAGCCCUACCCUCGGGCCCAAUUCCCAGGCUCGGGGCAGCAGCUUCCUUUAGCUCAAACACAGGCAAUGGCAGAACCCCAUGUUAAUUACUGUACGUUUCCACUGUAA
rnacentral:lncRNA from 1 species